GGCGCGGGGAGAGGCCCGAUUCCGCGAUCGCAGGCGUUGGGCGGGGGGACCGAACCGCUGAGCCGCGCCUUGUCUACCUGAGUCCCGCCUCCCCGCCUCUAAUCCGUGCUUUGCGCGCGCGGGCGUCGGCCGCGUGGAUCCCGCUGCGUGUUGGAAAAGAUAGUAAUCUCGAAACAGGCCUUCACCAGCAAGUGUAAAGAUAAUAGGUGUAGACAGUGUCUCUUGACUUUAAAAGAUGAAGAUAGCAGCAUCUCCACCCUUUCAGCUGUGUACACGCCCUUGGGUCGCUGGAAAGCUCUGGGCUGUGGGCCCUGCUCCUGGCGGGGCUUGAUGCAGACGACGGACGUUGAAUGGUCAGGGGGGGCCAAGAUGAAGUUUGAUACUCGUCCUCACCAGCCUGGUCCCAAGAAAACCAACCUCAAGGGAAAUUAGGAUGGUCCUGACCUGUCCUUAAAUAAAACCAGACUCACCUGUCCAUGAAAAAGUGAAGAAGGGAUACUUUUUCUGGCAAGAUGUUCAUUUAUUCAUUCAUUCAAAAAUAUUUUAAAAAAUUGUUUUUGGUUAUUUUCUUGGGAGGAGGAGGUAAUUAGGUUUGUUUAUUCAUUCAUUCAUUCAUUCAUUCAUUCUUAAUGGAGGUACUGGGGAUUGAACCCAGGACCUCAUGCAUGCUAGGCAUGCACUCUACCACUGAGCUAUGCCCUCCCCCCGCAAAAUUUUUUGAAAGCGUACUAUCUGCCAGGUCUAGUGCUGGACAUUUGGGAAACAGAGGCCACUAAGAUGCAGUGCCUACCUUAAGGAGCACAGAGCUCCUCAGUCCUACCGUCCUGGGGCUGCUGUUGGUCAGCCUUCCAGGACCCAUCCUUGCCUCAAAAGCCUCCUCAGGUAUUUCUGGCUGUUAUGAGCUGAGUCCUCCAGACAUUCAUGUAUUGAAAUUCUAGCCCCCAGUACCUCAGCAUGAGGCUGUAUUUGGAGAUAGGGCCUUUAAGGAGGUGAUUAUAGUGGAAUGAGGUCAUUGGGGUGGGCCCCAAUCUGACAUGAAUGGUGUCCUUGUAAGAAGAGAUGAGGACACAGAUACACUCAGAGGGAGACCAUGUGAAGACCCCGGAGACAUGACCACCUGCAAACCAAGGACAGAGGCCUCAGAAGAAACCCACCCUGUUGACACCUUGAACUUGGACUUCGAGCUUUCAGAACUGUGAGAAAAUAAAUUUCUGUUGUUUAAGCUGCCCA